rnacentral:tRNA from 1 species
GGGAACGGUGGCGUAAUGGAAGCGCAUUUUCUUUGCAAGAAAAAGGUGUUGGUUCAAGCCCAACCUGUUCCCAC